rnacentral:tRNA from 1 species
GGUUCCGUAAUUCAGUGGUAGAAUGCCUGCUUUACAUUGUGAAUAAUGAUCGCAGUAUGUCGCGGGUUCGAUCCCCGUCGGGAUCA